GAGGUACGGAGGAGAUAUGAGGAGAUAUGGAGGAGGAGGUACAGAUGAGGAGGAGAUAUGGAGGAGGAGGUACAGAUGAGGAGGAGGUAUGGAGGAGGUACGGAGGAGAUAUGGAGGAGAUAUGGAGGAGGAGGUACAGAUGAGGAGGAGAUAUGGAGGAGGAGGUACGGAGGAGAUAUGGAGGAGAUAUGGAGGAGGAGGUACAGAUGAGGAGGAGGUAUGGAGGAGGUACGGAGGAGGUAUAGAGAAGAUAUGGAGGAGGUACAGAGGAGAUAUGGAGAUAUGGAGGAGGUAUGGAGGGGGUACAGAGGAGAUACGGAGGAGAUAUGGAGGAGGUACAGAUGAGGAGGAGGUAUGGAGGAGGUACGGAGGAGAUAUGGAGGAGAUAUGGAGGAGGAGGUACAGAUGAGGAGGAGGUAUGGAGGAGGUACGGAGGAGGUAUAGAGAAGAUAUGGAGGAGGUACAGAGGAGAUAUGGAGAUAUGGAGGAGGUAUGGAGGGGGUACGGAGGAGAUAUGGAGGAGGAGGUAUGGAGGAGGCACAGAGGAGGAGGAGGUAUGGAGGAGAUAUGGAGGAGGAGGUACGGAGGAGAUAUGGAGGAGAUAUGGAGGAGAUAUGGAGGAGAUACGGAGGAGGUAUGGAAGAGGAGAGAUGGAGGAGGAGGUAUGGAAGAGGAGGAGGAGGUAUAGAGGAGGUAUGGAGGAGGAGAUACGGAGGAGAUAUGGAGGAGGAGGUAUGGAGGAGGAGGAGGUAUGGAGGAGGUACGAGGAGAAAUGGAGGAGGAGAGAUGGAGGAGGAGGAGGUAUAGAGGAGGAGGUACGGAGGAAAUACAAAGGAGUAGGAGGUAUGGAGGAGGUACAGAGGAGAAAUGGAGGCGGAGGUAUGGAGGAGGUACAGAGAAGAUAUGGAGGAGGAGAUAUGGAGGUACAGAGAAGGAGGAGGUAUGGAGGAGGUACAGAGGAGGAGGAGGUAUGGAGGAGGUACGGAGGAGGAGGAGGUAUGGAGGAGGUACAGAGGAGGAGGAGGUGUGGAGGAGGUACGGAGGAGAAAUGGAGGAGGAGGUAUGGAGGAGGUAUGGAGGAGGAGGUACGGAGGAGGUACAGAGGAGGAGGAGGUAUGGAGGAGGAGGUAUGGAGGAGGAGGUAUGGAGGAGGAGGAUGCAUGGAGGAGGUGCAGAGGAGGAGGAGGUAUAGAGGAGGUAUGGAGGAGAAAUGGAGGAGGAGGUACAGAGAAGAUAUGGAGGAGGAGAUAUGGAGGAGUAUGGAGGAGGUACAGAGAAGGAGGAGGUAUGGAGGAGGUACAGAUGAGGAGGAGGUAUGAAGGAGGUAUGGAGGAGGUAUGGAGGAGGUACAGAGAAGAUAUAGAGGAGGAGAUAUGGAGGAGGUAUGGAGGAGAUAUAGAGGAGAUAUAGAGGAGGAGAUAUGGAGGAGGUAUGGAGGAGAUAUAGAGGAGAUAUAGAGGAGGAGGUACGGGGGAGGUAGAGGAGGAGGAGGAAUGGAGGAGAAGAUAUGGAGGAGGAGGUAUGGAGGAGAUAUAGAGGAGGAGGUACGGAGGAGGAGGUACAGAGGAGGAGUUAUGGAGGAGGUAUGGAGGCGAUAUAGAGGAGGAGGUAUGGAGGAGAUAAAGAGGAGAUAUGGAGGAGGUAAAGAGGAGAUAUGGAGGAGGUAAAGAGGAGAUAUGGAUGAGGUAAGGAGGAGGUAUGGAGGAGGAGGUAUGGAGGAGGAGGUAUGGAGGACGAGAUAUGGAUGAGGUAAGGAGGAGGUAUGGAGGAGGAGGUAUGGAGGAGGUAAAGAGGAGGUAUGGAGGAGGAGGUAUGGAGGAGGUAAAGAGGAGGUAUGGAGGAGGAGGUAUGGAGGAGGAGGUAUGGAGGAGAUAAGGAGGAGAUAUGGAGGAGGUAAAGAGGAGAUAUGGAGGAGGUAUGGAGGAGGAGGUAGGGAGGAGGUAGGGAGGAGGAGACAUAGAGGUUUGGAGGAGGUUUGGAGGAGAUAUGGAGGAGGAGGUACGGAGGAGGUACAGAGGAGGAGAAAUGGACGAGGAGAAAUGAGGAGGAGGUAUGGAGGAGGUACGGAGGAGAAAUGGAGGAGGAGAUACGGAGGAGGUAUGGAGGAGGUACGGAGGAGAUAGGGAGGAGACAUAGAGGAGGUUUGGAGGAGGAGAUACGGAGGAGGAGGUACGGAGGAGGAAUGGAGGAGGUACGGAGGAGGAAGGUCAUGGCUGGUCAUGGCUCACAUCAACACCAUCAUGCCGGAAACCCUAGAUCCACUCCAAUUCGCAUACCACCCAAACAGAUCCACAGAUGAUGCAAUGUCUACUGCACUCCCCACUGCCCUUUCCCACCUGGACAAAAGGAACAUCUAUGUGAGAAUGCUGUUCAUUGACUACAGCUCAGCGUUCAACACCAUAGUGCCCUCCAAACUCAUCACUAAGCUAAGGACCCUGGGACUAAACACCUCCCUCUGCAACUGGAACCUGGACUUCCUGACGGGCCGCCCCCAGGUGGUGAGCUAGCUAGCAGAACAGGUACCACUCCUCCUCCUCCUCCUCCUCCAUAAACACAGAGGGGUGGUGAGGAGAGGACCAGCUAGCUAGCAGAACAGGUACCACUCCUCCUCCUCCUCCUCCAUAAACACAGAGGGGUGGUGAGGAGAGGACCAGCUAGCUAGCAGAACAGGUACCACUCCUCCUCCUCCUCCUCCUCCAUAAACACAGAGGGGUGGUGAGGAGAGGACCAGCUAGCUAGCAGAACAGGUACCACUCCUCCUCCUCCUCCUCCAUAAACACAGAGGGGUGGUGAGGAGAGGACCAGCUAGCUAGCAGAAC
rnacentral:lncRNA from 1 species